AGUGAACGCUGGCGGUAGGCCUAACACAUGCAAGUCGAACGGCAGCACAGUAAGAGCUUGCUCUUACGGGUGGCGAGUGGCGGACGGGUGAGGAAUACAUCGGAAUCUACUUUUUCGUGGGGGAUAACGUAGGGAAACUUACGCUAAUACCGCAUACGACCUACGGGUGAAAGCAGGGGAUCUUCGGACCUUGCGCGAUUGAAUGAGCCGAUGUCGGAUUAGCUAGUUGGCGGGGUAAGGGCUCACCAAGGCGACGAUCCGUAGCUGGUCUGAGAGGAUGAUCAGCCACACUGGAACUGAGACACGGUCCAGACUCCUACGGGAGGCAGCAGUGGGGAAUAUUGGACAAUGGGCGCAAGCCUGAUCCAGCCAUACCGCGUGGGUGAAGAAGGCCUUCGGGUUGUAAAGCCCUUUUGUUGGGAAAGAAAAGCAGCAGGUUAAUACCCCGCUGUUCUGACGGUACCCAAAGAAUAAGCACCGGCUAACUUCGUG
rnacentral:rRNA from 1 species